UACAGAGGGUGCAAGCGUUAUUCGAAAUUAUUGGGCGUAAAGCGCGAGUAGGUGGUGAGGUAAGUCUUGUGUGAAAGCCUCGGGCUCAACCCGAGAAGGUCAUAGGGAACUGCCUCGCUAGAGUACAAGAGGGGAGAGCGGAAUUCCCAGUGUAGUGGUGAAAUACGUAGGUAUUGGGAGGAACACCGGCGGCGAAAGCGGCUCUCUGGCUUGUUACUGACACUCAGUCGCGAAAGCGUGGGGAUCAAACAGG
rnacentral:rRNA from 1 species